rnacentral:rRNA from 1 species
UACGGAGGGGGCUAGCGUUGUUCGGAAUUACUGGGCGUAAAGCGCGCGUAGGCGGACCUGCAAGUCGGGGGUGAAAGCCCGAGGCUCAACCUCGGAACUGCCUUCGAUACUGCGGGUCUCGAGUCCGGGAGAGGUGAGCGGAAUUCCUAGUGUAGAGGUGAAAUUCGUAGAUAUUAGGAAGAACACCAGUGGCGAAGGCGGCUCACUGGCCCGGUACUGACGCUGAGGUGCGAAAGCGUGGGGAGCAAACAGG